GUCCUACGGGGGGCAGCAGUGGGGAAUAUUGCACAAUGGGGGAAACCCUGAUGCAGCGACGCCGCGUGGGCGAGGAAGUACCUCGGUAUGUAAAGCCCUAUCAGCAGGGAAGAAACAGGACAGUACCUGACUAAGAAGCCCCGGCUAACUACGUGCCAGCAGCCGCGGUAAUACGUAGGGGGCAAGCGUUAUCCGGAUUCACUGGGCGUAAAGGGAGCGCAGGCGGCAUGGCAAGUCUGAUGUGAAAACCCGGGGCCCAACCCCGGGACUGCUCUUGGAACUGCAUGGCUGGAGUACAGGAGGGG
rnacentral:rRNA from 1 species